rnacentral:rRNA from 1 species
AUUGAACGCUGGCGGCGUGCCUAAUACAUGCAAGUCGAACGCAGUGGGGACGGGUGAGUAACACGUGGGUAACCUCCCAUCAGAGGGGAUAACACUUGGAAACAGGUGCUAAACCGAUACUGAUGGAUGGACCCGCGGUGCAUUAGCUAGUUGGUGAGGUAACGGCUCACCAAGGCCACGAUGCAUAGACGACCGGGGUGGGUGCACGGCCAGCCUGGGACUGAGACACGGCCCAGACGCCUACGGGAGGCAGCAGUAGGGAAUCUUCGGCAAUGGACGAAAGUCUGACCGAGCAACGCCGCUUGAGUGAAGAAGGUUUUCGGAUCGUAAAACUGUGUUGUUAGAGAAGCGGUACCUAACGAAUAAGCACCGGCUAACUACGUGCCAGCAGCCGCGGUAAUAC